UACAGAGGGUGCGAGCGUUAAUCGGAAUUACUGGGCGUAAAGCGUGCGUAGACGGUUUCGUAAGUCGGGUGUGAAAUCCCCGGGCUCAACCUGGGAAUUGCAUUCGAAACUGCGAGGCUAGGGUACGGAAGAGGGAAGCGGAAUUUCUGGUGUAGCGGUGAAAUGCGUAGAUAUCGGGAGGAACACCAGUGGCGAAGGCGACUUCCUGGCCUGUUCUUGACGCUGAGGCGCGAAAGCUAGGGGAGCAAACGGG
rnacentral:rRNA from 1 species